rnacentral:rRNA from 1 species
UACGAAGGGUGCAAGCGUUACUCGGAAUUACUGGGCGUAAAGCGUGCGCAGGCGGUUAUGUAAGACAGUUGUGAAAUCCCCGGGCUCAACCUGGGAACUGCAUCUGUGACUGCAUAGCUAGAGUACGGUAGAGGGGGAUGGAAUUCCGCGUGUAGCAGUGAAAUGCGUAGAUAUGCGGAGGAACACCGAUGGCGAAGGCAGGUCACUGGGCCGCAACUGACGCUGAGGG